UACAGAGGGUGCGAGCGUUAAUCGGAAUUACUGGGCGUAAAGCGUGCGUAGACGGUUAUUUAAGUCGGGUGUGAAAGCCCCGGGCUCAACCUGGGAAUGGCAUUGGAAACUGGCGAGCUAGAGUGUGGCAGAGGGGGGUGGAAUUCCGCGUGUAGCAGUGAAAUGCGUAGAGAUGCGGAGGAACACCGAUGGCGAAGGCAGCCCCCUGGGCUGACACUGACGCUCAGGCACGAAAGCGUGGGGAGCGAACAGG
rnacentral:rRNA from 1 species